rnacentral:tRNA from 1 species
AGACCCCGGUACAUUUUUAAUAUACAUCGAUGAGCUUGCAACUCAACAUGAACUUCACCACAGGGUC